rnacentral:rRNA from 1 species
UACGUAGGGGGCAAGCGUUGUCCGGAUUUAUUGGGCGUAAAGAGCGUGUAGGCGGCUUUACAGGUCCGUUGUGAAAACUCGAGGCUCAACCUCGAGACGCCGGUGGAAACCGUAAAGCUAGAGUCCGGAAGAGGAGAGUGAAAUUCCUGGUGUAGCGGUGAAAUGCGCAGAUAUCAGGAGGAACACCCGUGGCGAAAGCGGCUCUCUGGGACGGUACUGACGCUGAGACGCGAAAGCGUGGGGAGCAAACAGG